UUGCUAGGAGGCGUCGAGCGGCGGACGGGUGAGUAACGCGUGAGAAUCUACCCAUGAGUGGGGGACAACCCGGGGAAACUCGGGCUAAUACCGCAUACGCCCUACGGGGUAAAGCAGGGGACCUUCGGGCCUUGCGCUGAUGGAUGAGCUCGCGUCGGAUUAGCUUGUUGGUGAGGUAAAGGCUCACCAAGGCGACGAUCCGUAGCUGGUCUGAGAGGAUGAUCAGCCACACCGGGACUGAGACACGGCCCGGACUCCUACGGGAGGCAGCAGUGGGGAAUCUUGGACAAUGGGGGCAACCCUGAUCCAGCCAUGCCGCGUGUGUGAAGAAGGCCUUCGGGUUGUAAAGCACUUUCAGCAGGGAGGAAGGCUUACCCCUAAUACGGGUGAGUACUUGACGUUACCUGCAGAAGAAGCACCGGCUAAUUUCGUGCCAGCAGCCGCGGUAAUACGAAAGGUGCAAGCGUUAAUCGGAAUUACUGGGCGUAAAAGCGCGCGUAGGCGGUGUGAUAAGUCGGAUGUGAAAGCCCCAGGGCUCAACCUUGGAAUUGCAUCCGAUACUGGCACGCUAGAGUGCAGUAGAAGGGAGGUGGAAUUUUCCGGUGUAGCGAUGAAAUGCG
rnacentral:rRNA from 1 species